ensembl:snRNA U6 U6 spliceosomal RNA
GAGCUUACCUCUAUAGCACAUGUACUAAAAUCAAAACAAUACAGAGAUUAGCAUGGCCCCUGCGCAAGGAUGUCAUGCAAAUUUGUGAAGCAUUCAUAUUUUAA